rnacentral:lncRNA from 1 species
AUGGCUGCUAGAAGGGACCAUGACAAGCCGGUUCAGAUUCUGGGCCCCAGCCUUCUCUUGAUCUUAGUCACGGACACCCAUCCACUUUCACCCAGCCAAGAGAAAGACUCACUGCAAGCUGUGAAUAAUGAGGCUAGAAAAUCAUUAAGGCAAGAGAUGAAGACAGGUUAUUUCAGGUGUGUCUUUGAGAAGAUGAGAAGAUCGCAGACCUGUGUUCUAAACUGGCAUACUUCUAAAGAAAAGGUGAGACCCCUGAAGUCUUCGGUUUUCAGAUAAAAGAUCAAUUGAAGACUGGCUACUAUCCAUAUUCUUUUUAACUUCUCCCCAGUAUAGCUCUUUAUUCAUCUAAUGAGCUCUCUAAUGAGCUUGUCUCCUACCAGACAAGCCGCUGAAUCCGACACUCAUAACCCGCCUCAUCAGCCACAGUGCUUUAUCAUUCAGGAGACUGUAUCAUUGAUCUUCCAAAGUGAGCCACCUUUGAAAUGGAAAGGGACAAUGAUUAAUAAUCACACCAGGCAACAUACAUGAACCAGGACUGUCUGGGGCAAAUUAGGAUGUGUUGAUCUCAUUAUAAGUGUCAAUCACCUCAGGGCAACUCCUUAUUUGUUGAAUCUAUUGGUUAGUGACAAAAUCUGUCUGAAACUUUCUCCACCCCCGUUCACUACUAAAGCUUUGGACAUUCUGGUAUGUGAUUAAAAACUUGUGACCUCCUAUCUAACUCUAUUCUUUUUUCAAAUCCUCUUUAUUGCAACAGUUUACUCAUACUAAAAAAUAUACAGAAUUACAUUACUCAAAGAAAACUCAAC